AUUAAAGUUCUUUAAAUUUUAAUGGUUCUUUAAAUUUUAAUGGUAGAAUCACUUUUGGUUGAAAGAAAAAUUACUAAAAAUCAAUAGAAAAGGAUCCAGUUACACAUAACAUCUUCUGUUUGGAGCAGCUUUUUCUUUAGUUAAGAAGAAUUCAUUUUUCUUUUAGGGAAAACAAGGCUGAUACCACUACUUGUCACAAAAAGAUGUAUCUUCCUUUCGUGUCUUGGUCUCUGAAUACAAUGACCACUUGUUGUAUUAGCUACUCAGCUAAUAAGCUGAUGAUCAAUUAGUUACUUGUAACUGCUCUUAUUUCUGCAGAUGGGGGAUGCACCUGGCUCUAGUUAAAUCAGUAACAGGUUUUUCUGACUGCAGGCCAAUGGCUGACAGAGCCAUUGCAGUAGUUUAUUUAAAAUGGCCAGCUUAAACGGUUGUUUUUUGCUAAUUUGUCUUUUUUGGUCUCAAAUGAAUUAGGGGGCUCGCUAGCCUCCUUCUCCAGCUCAGCUGUUCGUGGACUGCAUGUAUAUUGGCAUCCUGAAUCAUACAGUAAGUAAUAUAUGGGGGUCAGUAACAGACCAACACUGUAUUUGAUAAAAGAUGUAUCUAGAAAGUAAUAACAAAUACAAACAUGUAAUGUGAUGGUUGAAAGAAAGGAUACAGGCUAUUAAAUAGGUUUAUUGUUGCUGUAUUUUAUGCAGUAUAUCAUAUGAUAAGAGCAGUAAAACUUUAAGAAGGAGAACUAGUAAUUCAAGCUCCAGCAGCUAACAACAAUAAAAGAAAUAGGUAAAAUCUACUCAGUAGAUUAUUAAUGUUAGGAUAUUGAUAUCUUGUUAAAAUGGCGAGACACUAAAAAGAACAGCUGUAGCCAGUUCUCAUAAAAUUUGAUAUUUGUAAAUGAUGAUAACUGAGAAGCUCGAUUCUGAAAGCAGGAACAUGUUUUAUAGGUAUCACUUCCAUCUUCUGAUCAUAGUAAGGAUUGCUUCCUUUUCUCUCCUUCCAGUGGAGUUCCUGUUUUGCUCUUGGCUGAACUGGUGGCUGCGUGUUGUCUAG
rnacentral:lncRNA from 1 species